CAGCCGCCACGGGAAUACGAAGGGUGCAAGCGUUACUCGGAAUUACUUGGCGUAAAGCGUGCGUAGGUGGUGGUUUAAGUCCGUUGUGAAAGCCCUGGGCUCAACCUGGGAAUUGCAGUGGAUACUGGGUCACUAGAGUGUGGUAGAGGAUAGUGGAAUUUCCGGUGUAGCAGUGAAAUGCGUAGAGAUCGGAAGGAACAUCUGUGGCGAAGGCGACUAUCUGGGCCAACACUGACACUGAGGCACGAAAGCGAGGGGAGCAAACAGGAUUAGAUACCCCUGUAGUCCCUGUCUCUUAUAA
rnacentral:rRNA from 1 species